rnacentral:rRNA from 1 species
CCUACGGGUGGCAGCAGUGAGGAAUAUUGGUCAAUGGCCGGAAGGCUGAACCAGCCAUGCCGCGUGAAGGUCAGUGCCCUAUGGGCGUUAAACUUCUUUUGUGCGGGAGCAAUAAUGGUCACGUGUGGCCAGACGAGAGUACCGUACGAAUAAGCAUCGGCUAACUCCGUGCCAGCAGCCGCGGUAAUACGGGGGAUGCAAGCGUUAUCCGGAUUUAUUGGGUUUAAAGGGUGCGUAGGGUGUGAGGUAAGUCAGCGGUGAAAUGCCCCCGCUCAACGGGGUGAAGUGCCAUUGAUACUGGCUUGCUGGAAUGCGGAUGACGUGGGAGGAAUGUGUGGGGUAGCGGGGAAAUGCAUAGAUAUCACACAGAACACCGAUUGCGAAGGCAGCAUGCCGGCUCCACACUGACGCUGAGGCACGAAAGCGUGGGUAUCGAACAGGAUUAGAUACCCGGGUAGUC